GCUGAUGCUGCUGUGCUGUGGUUCAUGGACAUUAUGAAAAGUAUCCACCAAAAAAUGAAUAUGAUUAUGAUAUUAAUACUCCAGUAGAAGAUGAUACUUGCUCCACUGAUGGUAAGUAUUGUAAAUUUACUAACAUUACAAAUUGUAAUGUUAGUAAACAUAAUAUUCAUCAUUUUUGUAGCUGAAAUUGUGCAGCCAAAUACAACAUCAGUCCCUUUAAACAGAGCUGAUGUAUAUGAUUGUAGCGGAUCAAUUACUAAUAAUUAUAAUAUCAAUGAAUGUGAAUGAAGUUUUACCUAUUCACUUUCCAACAGAAAAUUCCUUUAUUGAUAAAUCACUGAGUGUUGAAGAGAAGCCAGGAGCACUUGUAACAGACAUUAUGUUAAACAAUUCUACUGAAGUGGUUGCUACAAGUUGUGAAGUAAUGACAAGUAAUGAAUACAGUACACCAAAUGUUUCUGAAGAUUAUUCAGAUUAUAAAAAUCAUGGGGUGAGUACUAUUUUAAAUAAGACAGUACUUUAUUUUGUUUAAUUUAGGUACCAGAAGUAAUGCAACGCACUGGUAAUAAAGUAAACUUACUAACACAAAUUUUUCA
rnacentral:lncRNA from 1 species